GCCACCGCCUUGCAGUUGCAGUCCGCUCGCUUCGCGUGCGCAUGCGCUAGCACACAGCGGUUUGUUUGCUUGGUUUGCUUGAGGAUGAGAUUUGUGUUUGUGGUAGCGGUAAAGCAGCUUUGCCAAAUAUUCCGUUCAAGUUCCUCGCUGGAUGUCCCGCUCGUCCGUCGAUGUUCAACAGAUUUUCAGACAUGGAGAGAAGAAAUGCGCAGAAGGCAGCCAAGAAUCACUAAAGGCACAGGGAGAAGAACAUCAAAGAAGAAAGGUCCAUAAAAUCACAAGGUUCCAUCAGGCGUGGGGUAACCUGCAUUGAUGAUUCAUCUGCAACGUUCCAGACUGGCAAGGUUCCAGGACAUAACGGGAUGUAUGCUCCGGGGCCCCCACCAUCUCGCUCAUGAUCACAGCCGACAAUUAAGGCAUUAUGGUUUCAAAUUUCCAAAGAUUCUCUAAGAAGUGGCAUGCAGUUCAGAAUUUGUACGAGUACAACACAACAGCGUGUACAGCCUGAGACAAAAGUUCACGGCACUGCACUUUUCUUCAUCGGAGCAGUCCCCUGCCAGCUGCCAGCAAAAGAUCGAAUAAGAAACGGGUGACUAUCUAUCUCUCAGUAUGUGUGUCUGCUCUUGUUUGAUGCUAGGGUGUCACUCCAAUGGAGAAAUGUGACACCAUGGUGGUCCGUAAACUUUUGUACCAAGUUGUACAUUGUACAACCCCGACAACGAACAAACACUGCUCGGUAAGGUCAGUGUUCCAAUUUGAGAUUUUGCUGCCUAUUUCUUCCCCAAAGGCUGGUCUUGCAAAAAUGCUUAAGAAACUCAUUUGGGUGAACUCUGGUAUACCAAGACAAGUGCAGAACAUGAAAAAAUUUAUAGUUCGACUUUGAAGGCAGUAGUCAACAUAAAUAAGUUUUACCUCUAAGCGAUGAUUGCCCAUUCAAGGCAACGACAAACUCAUAGGUUCGCCACAUCAUCUACACUUCCUCGGCCUGAGUGGUUACAUGAACAGUGGAUAUUCAUCGAGCAUUUGUGAGGAGAUUGUUAGAGGAAUCAGUCAGACAUGUGUUUCAGACGAUUUUUUUCCAGUUUUUAGGUUUUUAUUGUUAUUCCAUGACAGUAUACACUGAUAACAGGACUGAGAGGGCAAGCCCUGUUGAACAGUCCAAGACACAGUCAAUGCAAAUGUCUACACAAUUUGAGGGGAACAGAAAUACCAAGAACACAUGACAAGUAUAAGAAACAAAUAGCAAAGGUAUUGCACAGCAGAGAAAUGUAAGUAAUCAAAAAGUAAUUGCAUGUCACCCUACGUAUCAGCAGAAAAGUCCUGUUUGAUGGUGUUUUUGAAGGAUGCCAGAUUAUUGUUGGAACGAAUGCAUAGAGCAGUGUUUCUCAAACUGUGCGUCAUGACCCCCAAACGUGUCAUGAGCCGUUGAAAGAUUCAUUGUUUCACGCACAACCAGAGGCGUAAAUCUCAAUCCAUGUUCAAAGCAUUAAUGGACUGUCAUGUGUUGUCACAUGACAAUACUGCAUUCAUGAGUAAACGAUGUAGAUGUGAAGGUCGUUAAGCACGAAUUCAACAGAAAUCCUCUGGUUGGGUGUAUUUCCUGCUGCUUGACACAUUGCUUUCUUCACACCACCUGUGCAUAGGGUUGCCACCAGGCCGGUAUUAUACCGGCACGGCCGGUUAUUUGCUCGCUCUGCCGGUUGCCGGUAGGAAGGUGAUACCGGCAACGGUAUUUGUGGCUCAAGACCUUUCAUAUAGGCUUUUGCGGGGUUUUCCCUUCAACAUUCCACUACAGCUUGAAUAAACAUAGACCCAACUCCGCAGUCACCAGUUCUUUCCUUAGUUAUUCAUUAUUAUUAUUAUGACACACAGGAACAUAUGUUUCCUGGUAUUAUCUUGAGCUCUCUCUCUCUCUCGUUUUCUGUGUGUGCCCUUCCACCCCUCACCCACUUCCCUUUCCCGCGAGCUUUUCCUCCUUUCCCUCCAUACCACCUCCUCUCCCUCAGCCGGUAUUUUUCACUACGAACGGUGGCAACCCUACCUGUGCAUCAAUAUUCGUACAGAUUGGGACAAAAGUUUACGGAGCAUCGGGGUGUCGCAUGUCUUCAUGGGAGCGACUCCCUAGCAGCAAACAGAAGCGGCCACACACACUGAGAGGUGCAAAGAACAGCCAGUCACCUGUUUCUUUCUCGAUAUUUUCCUGCCAGCCAGCAGGGGGCCGCUCCAAUGAAGUGCAAGGCAACAGGUUCAUUGAUAUGGUGUCCAGCUGGAAUUUGUGGUAUUUUGGAACGAUGUAUUGCUAACAAGCAAACGAGACCAGUAAAAAUAUCCAAAACUGGA